CUGGGAGGCAACAGUUUUGUUCCGACACAGUAUUCUGAUGGUAUUUUUUUCCUGAAAGCAAGAAAAAUGAUUAGUAUUACUUCUGAACAUUUUAGACUGUGAAGAGUCAGACUUUUUAGUGUCACUAAUAAACACCAGCCUUGGGCAAAAGGGAGUUGAGCAGCUUUCUCCUGUUUAUCUCUUACACAAACUAUGUGGACAGAGGUUUACAGGCUUGGUAUCAGAGGUUGCCGAGGGAGGGAUUCUUGUCUUGACAGGACGGCCCUGCUUUGGCAGCAGAACUGAAUCUUGAAGGCCAUGGUGCCCGAGUGAAAAAUUUUGCUUCAUUAGGUGUAUAAUGAAUACUAAAGUUAACGCCCCAGAAUAUGAUAAUGAGCUUAAUGAAGUACUUGCUAAACAUACACGACUAUUGUACUUAACUCUCCACCCAUAGACGUCACCCCAGGGAGGGAACAGAUAAGGUUAGGAUAUAAAAGACUGUUAGAAGUUUGUGUAAGGAAAAAAAAAAAAAGAGUUAAUGUUAGGGAAAAAAAAAAGUUAGAGUGAGGAAAAAAGAAGAGUGGGGGAGAGAAAGAAGAAAUUUGGAAAUCUAGAAGAAGCAGAUGACGGGCUGUGCUCCACCAGGACAGGGAUGCCUUCUUGAACUCACUAAAACCUCUACUGGACACACCGCAUGGAUUAGUAGUGAUGGAACAUGGACUACAGACUUACCUGUGAGAAGUCAGCGAUGCCAAUACGUGCUGGAAGUGUUAACACUUUGCCACCUCUGGAGAGAACAACACCUUGCACCGGCUCCAUGGGGACGAACCAAAAGUAAUGAAGUAGCAAAGAGAAGUCCAAUGGCAAUCAAAAGGGACUUCAGGGCCUUGGUACAACUGGUUGAAGGACCAGGGGCAAAGUGGAGCCAGGAGUGGGUCAGAGAUCCUUGUGCAUCUCUUUCAACUCAGAAUAUUCUGUGAUUCUAUGAUUUAUUUUUGCCUGUAUAAUAUACCCACAAUGGUAAAUAGAUGCUGAAACCUUUGCUGUUUUUUGAAGUGACAGAUCAUUGCCAGAGUAUGAUCCGCAUUAAAUGAAAACUGUUAAUAAUGCAUCAGACACAAUCAUUCAAAACAUUAUCAAAGUUUCCUCAUGUGGUCAUUUGUAUUAUCGAU
rnacentral:lncRNA from 1 species